rnacentral:rRNA from 1 species
CCUACGGGGGGCAGCAGUGGGGAAUAUUGGGCAAUGGGCGCAAGCCUGACCCAGCAACGCCGCGUGAAGGAAGAAGGCUUUCGGGUUGUAAACUUCUUUUGUCAGGGACGAAGCAAGUGACGGUACCUGACGAAUAAGCCACGGCUAACUACGUGCCAGCAGCCGCGGUAAUACGUAGGUGGCAAGCGUUAUCCGGAUUUACUGGGUGUAAAGGGCGUGUAGGCGGGGAAGCAAGUCAGAUGUGAAAACCACGGGCUCAACCUGUGGCCUGCAUUUGAAACUGUUUUUCUUGAGUGCUGGAGAGGCAAUCGGAAUUCCGUGUGUAGCGGUGAAAUGCUUAGAUAUCACGAAGAACUCCGAUUGCGAAGGCAGUUCACUGGACUGCAACUGACACUGAGGCUCGAAAGUGUGGGUAUCAAACAGGAUUAGAUACCCUUGUAGUC